UACAGAGGUCUCAAGCGUUGUUCGGAUUCAUUGGGCUUAAAGGGUGCGUAGGUGGCGCCGUAAGUCAGGUGUGAAAUUUCGGAGCUCAACUCCGAAACUGCAUUUGAUACUGCGGUGCUUGAGGACUGGAGAGGAGACUGGAAUUCACGGUGUAGCAGUGAAAUGCGUAGAUAUCGUGAGGAAGACCAGUGGCGAAGGCGGGUCUCUGGACAGUUCCUGACACUGAGGCACGAAGGCCAGGGGAGCAAACGGG
rnacentral:rRNA from 1 species